CUGAUUUUGACCCGAAUCUUCUUCCUCUUCACCCGAUUUUGAUCAGAAUUUUUUUUCUUCUUCUUCCUAUUCAUUCCCAGUUCGAUCGGAGACAAAUUGUGCCUGGCGAGAUAAGCAUCUUAUCAAGAUUUAAUUGAUCAAUUAAUCGGCAGGCACGGCUCAGAGAAUACUUGCAAAUUUGAUUGUGAUGGGUUUUGGGAUUAUUGGUCGUUCUGGAAAUGAAGAGGAAGAAGAAAAAAAAAAUCGGGUCAAAAUCGGGUGAAGAAGAAGAAGAAGAUUCGGGUCAAAAUCGGGUUUAAAUUUGGUUAAAUUUGAAUUAAAUCAAACCGGGUUAUGUGGUACCGAUUUAUUGGCCGGUUCAAUUGGAGGCGUAGUUUUAAGGAUGAAUUUGAAAGUACAUGUAGUUAUUUUGAGAAUAAAUUUUUUUGUGUUGGUUUUUUCAGAAGCAAAAAGUUUGGGGUGAAAAGCUGAGAUUGCAAUUUGUAUAGGGCUGAAAAAUCAGCUAACCCUUGUAAUUUUGAUUCGUGCCAAAUUUUUGCCAUAUAUGUUCAACCAAAUGAGCUUUCUGUU